rnacentral:lncRNA from 1 species
UUCAAUAUAGCUAUAAAGAUGCAUAAAUUAUAUCUCCAGAGUUUGGGUAGGGUCUAGAAAUAUAAAUAUUAGUAAUAUAAUACGUUUAACUUAGUUCUUAUAUUGAAAAAUUAGUUUAUGUACUUCUCUAACACAAUUUUAAUCGAUGUUCAACAAGAUAUGUUAAAAAAAAUGUUGAACUCAAAUUAUAUAUGUGUUGAACGCAUAAAGUGUGACAUCCCCAAAAUCCGGGGGUCUGGAUUUGGUGCCACUAAAACAAAAUUAUUUAAAAACCGGUAUUGAAGAAGAAUGUAAAAUAGAUAUUCGAAAAUCUUGAAAAUUUUUAAAAGAGAUUUAAAUCAAAAUCACUUUAACCCCCUAAAAACAGGAUCGCUAAUAGGUUACAGCACUGAAAUCAGAAAUUAAAACUUUAAAUCUUAUUACAACUUAAACUACAUUAUCAGUUACACCUCGAUAAGAAGAGUAACUGAUAACCAAAUAAAUAAAUCUAUUAUACAACUAAAUUGGAAUAGAACAAUUCUAACCAUAAUUGGUUUCACUGACAUCUCCCUGGCAUUCUCACCUAGCAUUACUCUUACGCGCAGCUUAACCAACAAUUCAUCUGAAUCCCUAGCUGAAAGGGGUUAGAAAUAAUGGCAAGGGUGAGCGAAAAUGCUCAGCAAGAUAAAUUUAAAAGCAUAAUAAGGUAAAUCCAUAAUAUGCAGGGAAUUUCAAAUCCAAUAAAUAAUGGAUUUAUAUUCAAAACAUUGAUAAAAACCCGAUUCAUUACAGACUUCCCCCCUUAUAAGGAUUCCGUCCUCGGAAUCAGCGAAGAGAGACUUCAGCAUGCUAUGGCUUGCAAGUCGGGUCGUGAUCUGCUUUAAUAAUUGUAAUCUUAUACGUAAUCUUGAAAUGUACUAGCAUGAUUAGCUCACACAACCUGGUUGGCAUACCUUCAAAAUUGAUUGGAACCAGAAUUAUGAAAUCUUAAAAUGUCUCAGAAUUUAGAUAUCAAAGUAAUUGUCAUACUUAAACUUUUCCAAGUCAAAAUUGAUUGGAAAUAAAGAAGCACUGAGAGAUCAAUAUGAUCCAGAGAACUUAAUGUCGCGUAUCUUAAUAAAGAUACUACUAAAGGUAAUUAGCCUUCUUGUAAUGCACAACACACAAGUGAUGGCGUCCCAUCAAACUUCUAUCACACAGACAGAUAGUCAUUGUGUCCCCUAUGAAUAGGGUUGUUCAUCUCAGUUAGAGAAAAUAAAUAUGUAAUGAAUUUUAAAAUUAAAUAAAUGAUCAUUAUCUUUUGACGAAUUAAAAUUUGAUACACGCCUUGGAUCGACAUUGAAGAAUUUCCAAAGGUGUUAUUCUGGAGAAAAAUAAUAACUAGAAAGAAUAUUUAUACACAACGAGUAAAUGGUGAUAUAUUGAAAUAGAAGCAUUCACCACUUGAAGAAAGUGAAGGUUUCACAUCAUAAACUUGACAGGGCUUUAUAUAACCUAAAAAAAUAGAUAUCAUAUUAGCCUCUAUCACAAUUCAAUUUAACAAACAUCUUUAUGAAAGAGAUGUUAGAAUAAAUCAUUGAUUGAGAAAUAAUCAAUAUAAUCAACAACGAGAAAGGUAUUGCCAAGAUUCUCACAAAUAUCUUCUUGAUUGGCUCCUCUGAUGUCUCGUGUCGUUUGUAACGAUUCUUCUCGACAUUCUUAAUGAUCAAUUACGCAUAUCAUCGUUGACUUGUAAUCUUCUUUGAGAAUUUCAUCAUCGCAAUCCACUUUAGUAAAAGGUCUUAUCUAGCUUGGCACGGUCAGAAACCAUCUUCAACUUUAUACAAUCAGCAUUGUAGAACGUUGACGUUCUAGCCUACUCAUAACACUAUGUCGAGUAGUCUUAUAUGAAUUCUACAUAACUCUCAAAUCACAGCAUCUCUGACCCAACAAAUCUCAUACUCAUUCUAUAUAUAUCUCUAGAAAAUCAAUAGAUGACUCUCUACCAUAUUCAAGAAGUGGUAAAGAUGAAAAGAGAUAAUCCAGACUAGACAGGUCAACCCACAGGUCUAGCUAGUACUGGGUACUCAGAAAGUCAAUCUCAAAUUCAAAAAGAUUGGAAACUAAAGGUUUUAUCAUGUUUCUCUGAAAUCCAAACUCACUAGUUCUAAAACUAGAAACUAGGAUAUCCCAAUUGUUACUCAAAAUCAAUACUCCAAUAUUAACCACAAUUUUACUAACAAAGACUAUGCCAAAUAGUCUUAUCUUACCUCUAUAUGAGGUUCCAUUAAACACAAUCCUUACACAACCUACAUUCUGAUUUCAAUAACUUAUAACCUAUAGCUCUGAUACCAACUGUGACAUCCCCAAAAUCCGGGGGUCUGGAUUUGGUGCCACUAAAACAAAAUUAUUUAAAAACCGGUAUUGAAGAAGAAUGUAAAAUAGAUAUUCGAAAAUCUUGAAAAUUUUUAAAAGAGAUUUAAAUCAAAAUCACUUUAACCCCCUAAAAACAGGAUCGCUAAUAGGUUACAGCACUGAAAUCAGAAAUUAAAACUUUAAAUCUUAUUACAACUUAAACUACAUUAUCAGUUACACCUCGAUAAGAAGAGUAACUGAUAACCAAAUAAAUAAAUCUAUUAUACAACUAAAUUGGAAUAGAACAAUUCUAACCAUAAUUGGUUUCACUGACAUCUCCCUGGCAUUCUCACCUAGCAUUACUCUUACGCGCAGCUUAACCAACAAUUCAUCUGAAUCCCUAGCUGAAAGGGGUUAGAAAUAAUGGCAUGGGUGAGCGAAAAUGCUCAGCAAGAUAAAUUUAAAAGCAUAAUAAGGUAAAUCCAUAAUAUGCAGGGAAUUUCAAAUCCAAUAAAUAAUGGAUUUAUAUUCAAAACAUUGAUAAUGCAAUUCCAAACUGGAGAGAGAAAGUUUCCAUCAUGAGAAAACAUUUUGGAAUCAAAUAAAUGAUUCACUUCAAAAUCUUUAAAACCGUUUUGAUUUGCAUUGUAGCAAAUCUCAUAAUAUAGUACCUUUGCAAGAACUUCAAAAUUUAAUCAUUUGAGAAAUAACUUUUGAUAAUCAACUGUUCAUAAACCACAAUUCAAGAAAUCCCUAAAUAUUCAGUGUCCAUCAUUGUCGACUAAAUUUCCAUAUAUUUAGUUGCUAAACCAGCAUGUCAAUGAUGAGUUGAAUAAAUAAGAAGAUCUCAACUCAUUCUUGGCUCUAACUAUCACUGAGCAACAAAUGCUUCAACGACAAUAUGAACUUCGAAUUAAUCUGUAAAACUUUUCUGAAACUUAAUGCUAAUAAAGAAUAGCAUUAAUAUAUAAAUCAUCCACAACAUUUUUAGGGAUUGGAAUAAUUUAACGUUAUGCUAUAGCCGAUGAUCAGUCGCGAGAUAGCACCGGAUCAUGCACGAAGCAUGUCACCAAAUUUUAAGGGAUCCAAGGCACACAUUGGCCUAAAUAGUAACUAGACCGGCGUACGGUCCCCGAGGGUACUUCCAAUCACAAAAUACGCAAGGUAUCGAAGUAAUCGACAACCUUAUUUUAUAUUAAAAUCACAAUACUAACCGUUAGAUUAACGGUUCAGCAUUUCUAAAACAUUUAAAUAAAAGUUCUUUUCAGGGGAAGCGGUUCCAUAAAACAACAGUUGAUAAAAUAUUGUAGACAGUAUGUGCGUAUACACAUGUCCAAAAUAAUGAUGCAAGUAAAACAGCUUUCAUGCUCGAUACAUUUGAAGGCACUUCAUAAAAUAUAAGUUAAAUAAAAUGAGGUAGUUGAAAAUCUCAAAAAAUUAUUUUAAGAGCUUUCUCAGCUCAUCUUUCCAAAUAAGAAAGGAAAAAGGAAUUUUUAUAAAACAUUAAUAGAUUAGGCAUAUAUAAUGUGCAGUAGCACAAGUAUGUUUCGAGUAAAAUGAAAUAAGAUAUUUUUGGUUAAAAAAGGAUGUGACAUAGAGAAAUGGUAGUAGUAGAUAAGAAUAAAAACACUUGCAUUAAUUACAAGUUGUAGAUGGAAAACUUGCAAUAACACAAGAGUUAUUACUCUUUAAAUAUAAUAGAUAGAGUCACAUGCAUAAAAAUAUAAAUAGAAAAUUUGUGAUAACACAAGUCAUGGAGAGAAAAACUUGUUAAAGUACAAGUCAUCGAUAGGGAUACUUGCCUCUGACAGAAAAACUAGUGACAUCAUAGUCACGCAACUCGAGAAUAAUAUAUUGCCCUGGCAUCUCGCUUCUGGCUCAACACAACUCGAAAACACAAUUCAACUACUUUUGAUGGUCAUUGAUAACACGUCUUGGUCGACUAUAUAUAAUAACAAUAUAAUUCAGUUCGCGAACAACCCAGAUUGUCGUCCGAAUCUAAAAUUUGAAUUGAAAUCAAAUUUGAUACUACCCUUCAUAGUAUACAUAUAUAAUUUCUAUGUACCAUUAUUAUACAUUUAUUAUGUACACAUAAUAUUCAUAAUUUAAACACGUAAUCAUAUUAUCACGUAUCACGAGAUUGACAUGCUUUAUUAUUUAUAAAUAAAUAAUCCUAACUGAUAAUCCCAGAAUCUUUGUCCAAAUAUUAAUUAGAAUUCGAAUUAUAAUCAUAAUUUGAUUCUCAAAUUAAAUCUAAAUGUUAAUAAUAAGUAAAAUCGGACAGCACCUCCUUUGUAAUAAAGGAGUCCCAAAAAUCAACAAUCAACCCAAUAUUCAACAACCAACUCAAUUCUUUUUAUUCUAAACAAUUAAAAUCUGGGAAUUCACUCAAAACAUCAUCAAGAUACUACAAGUAAUAAUAAUACAAAUUGCCACUAAUAUAAACAAUCAAAAAUAUAAAUAUUAAUUUUAUUAAUAUUAUCAUUAAUAUUAUUAUCGUUAUCAAAACAAUAAUAAUAAUAACAAUAAUAAAAACAAUAUCAAUAUUUGUUUUGCUUUUCGAAAUAUUUCCCGGCAGUCACCACCGCCCGGGAACCACCGGACUCCGGCCAGCCCCAACCUGCAGCCCCUCUCCCUCUCUGCCCAGCAUCUCUCUCUCUCCCCCCCCCCUCUCUCUCUCUCUCUCUCUCUCUCUCAACCCCCCCCUCUCUCUCUCUCUCUCUCUCUCUCUCUCUUGUUUUCCUCCUCUCUUUCGUUUCUUUCUUUUCUCGCCUUGGCAGCCUCCUCCCUUUUCGGCUUGCAGCAGCAGCGGCUGAGCCGCCCCUGUUCUUCCCGACGUGGUCGCGGCAGUGAGCCGCCGGCCACCAUUCAGACCACCAUCCUCCCUCUAAUCGCCUCCCCACCGCCUCCAUAACACCCAGCCACCCAUCAAUCAACACCAACACAACUUCCAGCCUCCGAUUGUCUUCCCUUAGCGCCGAUUGAAACCACCACCCACAACAAGCAGAGAUACAUACAAACACAUACGCACAUAAAUGAACAGACAUACAUAACUUUUACCUUUAAUCAUGCUUCAAUUCGAUUUCUCCGAAAGAAAACUGAAACCCUAGCUCUCUUGACCCACCGCCUUUGUUUGAGUACAACACUCUGUCUGUCUAUUCUUAUCUAUACGUCUGAGUUUUUAUUUAAAAAAAGGUAGAAUCCGCGUGUGUG